ensembl:lncRNA
CCUAGCCCAGGCUGUAGAAAUGAUGAUUUCUUAAAUCUUUUCAGACUUACCUUGUCUGAAAAGGUAAGUCAUAAGAAAGCCACUUCAGGGAGGGGGACUGGCCUACACCUGGAGUUAGGGAUUCGGCACAGCCAAGUUAAGAGGAUCUGGACUGGCCUUAGUGCUCCCCCCAUGCACUUUGUCGUAUGCUCACAUUUCUAUAUGGUAUCCAUGCUCAGUUACACCAAAGCAAUGUCAUCUCCAUAAACACCCAAAGGACAGGUGAUAGAAACUUCGGACAACAGAAAAUAUGGAGGCUCCUGGAGGGUAGUGCCCCCAGGGAGGGGAUGGGAGCUCUGCAACUGUCCUCACAACCUUGUUCUGUAUUCCUUGUAAUGGACUAGUAAAUGUAUUUCUCUACAUUCUUUAAUCCAGACUGUAUUUCUCUACAUUCUUUAAUCCAGACUCUAAUAAAUUAAACAAAGUCAAUAAAAGAUUUGUCGAGCUGGAAAGAUGGCUCGGUGGUUAAGAACAAUUGCUGUUCAUGCCCAGGACCUGGGGUCAGUUCCCAGCACCAACAUGGCAGCUCACAACCAUCUCUAACUCUGGAUCUAAGGGAUUCAAUUCCCUCUUCUGGCCUCUAUGGGUACCAGGCACAUAUGUGAUUGUUCGGAUGACAAAAUCUGGGAGACACAGCUGAUUGACUAUGUGGAGUCACAGAGGGAAGCUGUGAUGCCAGGAAGGGAGGCUUCACAUCUCCAACAGCUUCUGUGUCACCGUAGAUGAGCCAUCCCUGGGUUCCGGAGUCAGGAGCCUGAUACUCAGCACCAAGAACUUGGCACUGGGCAUGGCAGCUGGCACCUAACAGAUGGUCCAGAAGUGGUCAGAGGAUGAAGACCCUUGGAUUCCAGACUCACGGCUGGUCAUGGAGCUGCUUCCUGCCCUGCCCUCCUCAGUGGGGCUUGAAGCUGUGGUGUCCAGCGAAUAAGUCCUUCCCCUCCAUCGUGACCACUGGCUUCUCUCUAUCCGUCCUUGACUCACUGUCAUUAUAGGAGAAAGCAUCAGAUUUUAAGAAUUUUACCCAAUGAAACAGAAAUGAGAAGGGGACAAAAAGCAUAGAGGAUGUGAGGGACUCUUCAAAGGAUAUGUCUGCUGUGAAUGAUGAUGCUCAGCUCUGUGUUCAAGAUCAUCUAAAGCUAAAUAUGAAAUCUCCAUGAAGAUCGGCUGGUUUCUUCCCUUGUGCCUGUUGCUGGAGCCCCUCAUAAGCUGGGUUCCUGGUUCAUUUAGGGUGGUUUUUCUUUGUGGAAUAGCUGUGGUUAGCACUUUGCAGGUACACAGGUUAGCUUUUGCUCAAGAAAACUGAAAAUAAGUUCUAAAGCCUGUUAGGACUAUCUUGAUGCUGUACCAGGUCUGUUCAAAGAUAAAUAUUAAAUGAGGUACUGCCCAACCGUGAAGAUGGAGACAUGAGGAUGCAUUAGUUCUCGCUCCUGACAAGAGUGAUGAUAUGGAAACUGUCCAACAGAAGCCUGUGAAGUACUUCUUGGUGUGUGCAGAGUGGCCCUGUGUGACACAUGUCAGAAAACACAAAAGGAAUAAUCAAACUGAAGCAUGGACGUGGGAGGGUGGGUGGCCUUGGGUGGCAUUUAUGACACAGGAGGGAUCUCCUGGCAGGU